GUGAAGAACGUAGCGAAAUGCGAUAAGUAAUGUGAAUUGCAGAAUUCAGUGAAUCAUCGAAUCUUUGAACGCACCUUGCACCCUUUGGCAUUCUGAAGGGUAUGCUCGUUUGAGUGUCAUUGUACUCUCACACUCCCGAUCUUUGCAUUGGGAGCAGUGGACUUGGGUUUGCUGCUUCACCGUCGCUUACCUCAAAUAGGUUAGUGCAACUCUUGGUUGGACAUAGUACGGCGUGAUAAGUGUUCUUCGCCGGUGCCUCGCAAAGAGGGUGGCCGAUCGGGAUGUUGUGCUCCAAACCGUCUUCGGACAAUCUCUGACGACUUGACCUCAAAUCGAGUAAGACUACCCGCUGAACUUAAGCAUAUCAAUAAGCGGAGGA
rnacentral:misc_RNA from 1 species